UACGUAGGGGGCAAGCGUUGUCCGGAUUUAUUGGGCGUAAAGAGCGUGUAGGCGGCCAUGCAGGUCAGCUGUGAAAACUCGAGGCUCAACCUCGAGACGUCGGUUGAAGCCGUAUGGCUAGAGUCCGGAAGAGGAGAGUGGAAUUCCCGGUGUAGCGGUGAAAUGCGCAGAUAUCGGGAAGAACACCUAUGGCGAAGGCAGCUCUCUGGGACGGUACUGACGCUGAGACGCGAAAGCGUGGGGAGCAAACAGG
rnacentral:rRNA from 1 species